rnacentral:rRNA from 1 species
AACGGCACCACCAGGCGUGGAACUUGCGGCUUAAUUUGACUCAACACUGGAAAUCUCACCAGGCCCGGACACCGGAAGGAUUGACAGAUUGAGAGCUCUUUCUCGAUUCGGUGGGUGGUGGUGCAUGGCCGUUCUUAGUUGGUGGAGUGAUUUGUCUGGUUAAUUCCGAUAACGAACGAGACUCCGUCCUGCUAACUAGUCGUGGCGUCACUCUUGCGCUGCGAAUUCUUCUUAGAGGGACUGGCGGCAUCUAGCCGCACGAGAUGGAGCAAUAACAGGUCUGUGAUGCCCUUAGAUGUUCUGGGCUGCACGCGUGUUACACUGAAGGGAUCAGCGUGUCCUCCCUGACCGAGAGGUCCGGGUAACCCGCUGAACCCCCUUCGUGGUAGGGAUCGGAGCUUGCAAUUAUUCUCCGUGAACCAGGAAUGCCCAGUAAGCGCAAGUCAUAAGCUUGCGUUGAUUACGUCCCUGCCGUUUGUACACACCGCCCGUCGCUACUACCGAUUGAACGUUUUAGUGAGGUAUUUGGACUGGACCUCAGUUGGUUCGCGCCGACUGUGUUGUUCGGGAAGACUCCCAAACUUGAGCGUUUAGAGGAAGUAAAAGUCGUAACAAGGUUACCGUAGGUG